AUUGAACGCUGGCGGCAGGCCUAACACAUGCAAGUCGAACGAGUGGCGGACGGGUGAGUAAUGUCUGGGAAACUGCCCGAUGGAGGGGGAUAACUACUGGAAACGGUAGCUAAUACCGCAUACCAUAGGAUAUGCCCAGAUGGGAUUAGCUUGUAGGUGAGGUAACGGCUCACCUAGGCGACGAUCCCUAGCGGGUCUGAGAGGAUGAUCAGUCACACUGGAACGGAGACACGGUCCAAACUCCGACGGGAGGCAGCAGGGGGGAAUAUUGGACAAUGGUCGAACGCCUGAUGCAGCCAUGCCGCGUGUGUGAAGAAGGUCUUCGGAUUGUAAAGCACUUUAAGUUGGGAGGCGUUACCAACAGAAUAAGCACCGGCUAACUUCGUGCCAGCAGCCGCGGUAAUAC
rnacentral:rRNA from 1 species